UCCCUUAGUAACUGCGAGUGAAGAGGGAAAAGCUCAAAUUUAAAAUCUGGCGGUCNUUUGGCUGUCCGAGUUGUAAUCUAGAGAAGUGUUGCCCGUGCUGGACCAUGUACAAGUCUCCUGGAAUGGAGCAUCAUAGAGGGUGAGAAUCCUGUCUUUGACAUGGACUCCCAGUGCUUUUGUGGUAUGCUCUCAAAGAGUCGAGUUGUUUGGGAAUGCAGCUCAAAAUGGGUGGUAAAUGCCAUCUAAAGCUAAAUAUUGGCGAGAGACCGAUAGUGAACAAGUACCGUGAGGGAAAGAUGAAAAGAACUUUGGAAAGAGAGUUAAACAGUACGUGAAAUUGCUGAAAGGGAAANGCUUGAAGUCAGUCGCAUUGACUCGAAAUCAGCUCUGCUUUUGCUGGGUGUAUUUUCUUGCCAAUGGGUCAGCAUCAAUUUUGACCAUUGGAUAAAGUCAUUGGGAAUGUGGCAUCUUUUAGAUGUGUUAUAGCCUGGUGAUGCAUACAGUGGUUGGGAUUGAGGAAUUCAGCACGCCACCAGGCCGGGUUUUUUGACCACGUUCGUGCUUANGAUGCUGGCAUAAUGGCUUUAAUUGACCCGUCUUGAAACACGGACCAAGGAGUCUAACAUAUCUGCAAGUG
rnacentral:rRNA from 1 species